UACGAAGGGUGCAAGCGUUACUCGGAAUUACUGGGCGUAAAGCGUGCGUAGGCGGUUUGUUAAGUCUGUCGUGAAAGCCCCGGGCUCAACCUGGGAAUGGCGAUGGAAACUGGCGAGCUAGAGUACGGUAGAGGAGAGUGGAAUUCCCGGUGUAGCAGUGAAAUGCGUAGAGAUCGGGAGGAACAUCAGUUGCGAAGGCGGCUCUCUGGACCAGUACUGACGCUGAGGCACGAAAGCGUGGGGAGCAAAC
rnacentral:rRNA from 1 species